UACGUAGGGUGCGAGCGUUAAUCGGAAUUACUGGGCGUAAAGCGUGCGCAGGCGGUUCGUGAUGUCUGAUGUGAAAGCCCCGGGCUCAACCUGGGAAUUGCAUUGGAAACUAGCGGGCUGGAGUGUGGCAGAGGGGGGUGGAAUUCCACGUGUAGCAGUGAAAUGCGUAGAGAUGUGGAGGAACACCGAUGGUGAAGGCAGCCCCCUGGGCUAACACUGACGCUCAUGCACGAAAGCGUGGGGAGCAAACAGG
rnacentral:rRNA from 1 species